rnacentral:rRNA from 1 species
UAAAAGGAUUAAAGCAUGCAUGUCUAAGUGGAGUAGAAUAAAGCGAAACUGCGAACGGCUCAUUAUAACAGAUAUAACUUACUGGUUCUAUUCAUUCUUAAAUGGAUAACUGCGGUAAUUCUGGAGCUAAUACAUGCGUCAAUGUGUGUUCUUAAUUGAUCACACAGCAUUUAUUGGAGCAAAAUCAAUUUUAAAUUGUUUGCUAACUCUGGAUAAUUCAGCUUAUCUUGAAAAUAUUUCAAGAAGAAACCUUCAGGUAUCUGCUUUAUCAACUAUCGUUGGUAGUGUAUUGGACUACCAUGGUGUUAACGGGUAACGGAGAAUCAGGGUUUGACUCCGGAGAGGGAGCCUUAGAAACGGCUACCAUGUCUAAGGAUAGCAGCAGGCGCGAAAAUUACCCAAUAUCAAAGCGAUGAGGUAGUGACGAGAAAUAACGAGAUCGUUCUCUAUGAGGUCGAUUAUUGGAAUGAGUGCAAUCCAGAAAAGUCGAACGAUUAACAACGAGAGGGCAAGUCUGGUGCCAGCAGCCGCGGUAAUUCCAGCUCUCGUAAUGUAUAGAAUUAUUGUUGCGAUUAAAAAGUUCGUAGUUGGAUUUCUUUGUUGUUUUUGGUUCAAGCUUUAUGUUUGAUACUAAGAAUGGCAUAUUUCAUUUGGUUUGUUUGUUAGUUCAUUCUAGCAAAGAACAAAAUGAGGCUACUUUGAACGGCUCAAGUGCUUAAAGCAUGUCUUCGGACAGAAUACCGGUGCAUGGAAUAAUGGAACAAGGUUUGCGGCCGAGUUUUAUUGGUUUUGUCGGCUGAAACAAUGGUUAACAGGAACAGCCGGGGGCAUUCGUAUCGCUGCGCGAGAGGGUACACGGACGGGUAGCAACCA